UUUUUAUGUUUUAUGUCCUGGCAGAGUGAACAUUGCGUGCAUAAUACAUUUUCGACAUCAAACGACUGAUUAUCACCCUUCGCCCACACACUCUUGUCACUUUGCAAGUGAAAAGUUUAUCAUCCUUGUGUUACUGAAUGUAUUUGAACCUUAUAAAACAUUUUUGCUUACACCAGGAAUGACGUCUCAGGAUGUUUCAGUCAAUUUUUCUGCCAUUGAAGAAUACGCAACAGUUAAGAACAAGUGCUCAGGCAAAGAUCCUCUCAUCAGUAUUUCUAUAGCACUGUGGCUUGGUGUCAUCAUGUCUGCGUUCUUUCUCUACUUGUACUGGAAGCACAUUAAUCUCAAACCAAGUGUCCAUGUUUCACACCAACAUAAUAAAGAGAUGGAAGAGAAUUUACAUACUGAAAAAACUACUGUUCAUGCAAUCAAAAAAGGCAAGCAACAAUAUUUAUGUAAAUUUAUGAUGGUCACAAAAAGUAAAGUGCAAUUUUACGAUGUAUGCCCUUUAAGUCAUAAAAUAUAUUUUUGUGAUACAUUUUAAGAGAUUGUUUUAUUUGUCACAGAGCCUGAACAGUGUGGAACAGAGCACUAUGAACCUCUUGCAAACAGAAAUCAGGGUAAGCGCACACAAUCUGAGAUAAAUGAUCCGAUAGAUUGCCAUACAAAGAUGCACACUGGUUUCAAAUCUCCCUUAACAUCAAAGACAAAAUAA